CUGAGGGGCUGAGGGGCUGAGAGGGGCUGGAGGGCUGAGAGGGGCUGAGGGGCUGAGGCUCGAGCAGUUGUUCUCAAAGAGAUGCUCGCUUCCUGAACUGCCUGUUGUGCAGAUGCCUAGCUCAGCGCCAGGCCCCAUAGAAGCUCAGGCCUCUGUUUUUUUCUCAGUAUGUUGGAGCAUUCAGAAAGCAGCAGCCAUGCCAGAUUUGUUUUUGUGCGUGCUCCAGUCGUCCCCUGGUGGCCCAAAGAGGGAAAGGGCCGUGUUAGCACAUUGGCACAUUUCAAAUGCUAGGGAGAAGCAGGCACAAACACUGGGAUGCGCAAGCGCAGUUGGUGGCCGGCCUCGAACGCCGCCGCCGCGCAUGCGUGCGCCUCUCCUGAUUUAAAGGCCUGGUUCUGUCCUGCCUUUCCCCAAACCACCUGACUAAAGUGGAUCCCCUAAACGUCCUCGUUCCAAUAUUACCGCGUCUGGGAUUUAUGUAGUCUUACUUCAGGAAGCUGAAGGCGGAGGACAUGGUUUUGCUGGUGGCCUAGUGGUGGCGCUCUGGCAUUCCUGGGCUGGCACAGCAAGUGCAUCUUGUUUUGUGCUGUCUCCUUGUCUCCAUUCUUGCUGCUCUGGUACCCAGAACCUCAGGCCAUUACAGCCCCAUGCUAGCCUGCACCUUAGUUCUUCCAGUAGCAAGAAAAGCCUCGGUUUCUCUCUUGGAAGUCCAAGAGGAGUGGAGGAGUCCUGGCCUCACAUCUCACCAGGUUUGGACCCUUGGACAAUGCACAGCCGCCUCACUUUGGAUCCAGGCAGGGCAGAUGGUUCUGAAACUGGUCCACCACCUCAGCCCAUGUGUCCCAAGACCACAUGGCAGGUGGGCCCAGCCCUGGGCAGCCCUGUCUUGGCUCAGAACACUGCACAGGCUAGGGAAGGUCUGCGGGUUUUGAGCUGCCUACAUUUGUCUUGGAGGCUGACAUGGAGAAAACCCCGAAGGCCCAGUCGCCCUCACAGUUUCACCACAAGUAUCCUGACCGGGUGUCUGGUGCCGAGCUGAUAGUGCAGGCCCUGGCCGCAGCCCUGCCGGAAACCGCGCUGCCAGCGGUUGGGGGCCGCAGGCUGGGACAGGAAGCGCCCGGUGCACCAGAGACUUCUGCAGACCUGCACUGAGACCAAGCUGCCGCCAUGUUGAAGAUGGACUCCUGGGGCUGAGCAGAGGCUGCUCUGUUCACCUGCCUAUCGCCAGACUGGGGAGGUGACAGCCUCAGGACAGUUAGCCCCCUGGCUCUGGUCCAAGGAUUGGGAAUCCUUAUCUCCCCCCCCCCCCAUAGCCAAGCCCUUCACUGUGUCCUCCUAACCUCUUGCCUUACUCAGUUUAUAUGUGGCCUAUGACUGGUUUAGGACUAAACUAGGGAGCCUUAAAAGGCUAGUACUCAAAUGGGGAAAGACAAUCUACAGCUUGGAGAGAAUUCAGAGGAAAGCAUUUUCAUGUGGUGAUGAGGCCAGAUUCCUCCUCUUCUUUUGGUGUCCAGUCUUGAAGAACCCAGGAUUCCUUUCAAAAUUGUUGUCUUAGUUGACUUCAGCCACUAUCGUGAAAAGCUGUCGGGGUGGCUUAUCAACAGGACUUUUCCGUUAUACUACUGGAGAGUCCUGAAGGGAGGUGUGGGCAUUUGGGUGUGGUGAGACUUCUCUUGGUUCUCUGGUGGGCUUUUCACCGAGUCCUCACGCUGGAGAAGGAAGGAGGAACCUCUCAGAGACAGUCUCAGGUCUCUCAUCUCAUUGAUGAAGAUUGUUCUUCCAUGAGCGCACACACACACACACACACACACACACACACACACACACACACACACACACACACACACUUAUUAGGAUUAGGCUAACAUGAAUAAUUUGGGAGCGUACACAUGACGAUGGCAAGACCUGGAGCCUGUUGAAAUGCUGGUUGGGGAGGAGAAAGUGAUAGGGCGGGCGAGGUGUUAGAUAGGAGACAAGGAGCCAAUGAAAAGAGUCAAAAGAGCAGAGCGGGUGGGAUUUUGAAAAGAUACUGCCAAUCAGCACCUGAGGCUAAAUCUGCCCUACCGGAUCUCAACUGCAUUUGGCGCUAGUCUCUGAAGUGGACUGUGGCAGCGUUCUCCUGCUCUCCACUCUUUAGCAGCUGAAACAGAGGCAGAAUAUUAGUUUUACUCAAAAAAUAUCUUUGCUUUGUAUCAGGUCCUGUCUCAGGCACCAAGUUUACGUUGGUAUGUGAGGCACAUAGCCAUUGUCUCUCAGUCAUUCCAAGUUUGGACACUUCCGUCACCAAGGCAUACUGCUGUGUGCUGUGUAUACACAGAUGCCACCCACUGUGUGAAUGCCUGUGUUCCCAGAGAAUCUUCAAGGUUUCACGUGUCGAUACAACAGUUGGCUGGGUGGCUUAUUACAGUGGUGCUGAUUUCCCGGGAUUCUGCAGGGUGGAAGUUCAAGAUUCCAGUGCCAGCACCUCGUGUUCUGGGAGCUCUCUUGCUACCCUCACCAGGUAGAUGGUGCUUGCCUGCGGUGGUCUUGUCUCAGAGUCCGGAACCUGGUCACAAGGCUCUGCCAUCCUGACUUAAGAAUCUUAUAAACACCUGCUUUUAGUUCCCAGUAGGUUUUCAAUAUGUGAAUUUAUUUGCCACUUACAGAUUUUUGUAUUUACAUUUAUUUCCCUCAUAUGUAAAUAAUUUUAAUUUCCUUCUAACCAGUGAAAACUCAUGGUUUUUCUGAAAGAAAGGGAAAGUGGUGUCCGGUUUGGUAUUACAUGUGUCAAAUACUUGUAUAAAGUAGCAACCAAACGUUCUAAGAGAUUUGUCUUUUAGCACUUACCAUUUUCAACUCACAUGCUCCUUUAUGUGAGAAAUUUCAGUCAAAAGUGGCUGAAAUGUUAACAUUGUUCUUUGAGAGAAUAUCUGAAAGGUUUAUGAAUUUUUAAAAUAUCAUACAGUCUAUUUCUUAAAAAUAGUUACCAAGACAAUAAAAUUUUUAUUUUGUAAAAAAAAAAAGUAGACUUUGUAGCAUUGGGAUAUUCAGAACCCAGCACUGGUCUCAAUGGAUACAUCCUAUCAGUAAAGGGGACAGUUCAUCAUUCACAUAUGACCAGGUAAGAACACCUCUCUAGCUUCCUUCUUGUCCACCUCCCAGUCCCCAGUGGAGGGAGACACACUCCCCCUACCUUCCUGCUCACUCACCCCCAACAAUUCCCCAGGGAGGGACCCCUUCCCUCUUUUGCAUCCUUGAUGACUCUUGGCCUGAAGAGAAUGGAUGGGAGCGUGUGGUUGGUUAUGCAGGGCUGUUGCUGGGGCAAACAGCACAGGGCAGUCAGUGAUUGUUGGUGACAUAAAUCUCUUUAAGGAAACAGAACUGUGUCUAGACUGUGUGCUCUCUGCUGACCAGUCCCUCGCCAUCGUGAGUCACUUUCUUGGAUUUAUGUUGGGUUUAAUUUUUACAGCUUUCCUCCCCACCCCUCUCUCCGAGACAGUCUCACAUAUCACAAGCUAGCCUCGGAUUCGAUCUGUAGCUGAGGAUGACCUUCAACUUCUGAUCCUCCUGCCUCCACCUCCAAGUUUGGGGAUUACAGGUAUGUAUCGCAUGUCUGGUUUUCACUGUUUUCUCUCCACAUUAAAUAAUUAAUCAGUGCUAGACUGGAUCUCUUUCUGCAGCCCUGGCUGGACUGGGACUCGUUGCUUGUUUGUUUCUCAGUGAAUCCCCGGCUGUCCUGGAACUUGCUCUGUAGACUUGGCUGGCCUCAAACUCAGAGAUCCUUUUGCCUCUGUCUCCCGACUGCUGGGUCCAAAGGUGUGUGCCACCACCUCCCAGCUUGGCCUGGAGCUCUCGUAGAGCAGGCUGGCCCCAAACAGAGAUGUGGCUUUGCCUUCACCCAGUACCUGUAGUACGAAGGACACUCGUCAGCAUGUCUGGCUGCCAAGUUUUCUUAAAGUCGGGUGAAGGGGGUGUUUACAAAGGUUGGGAAAGUAAACCCUCACUAGGAAGCAAAUCAAAAUGUGGGGUCCGGGGUAGGUGGGAUGCUGGUGAUACCUCCCCGGACCUGUAUCCCUGGCAAAGUCAUCCAACGGCUAGGAACUGUGUUUCCAUCUUUAAAAUGCCGUGAUAUUUGUUCCUUAGAGUGUUGUGAUCCUCAAAUAAGGCUGCCAGUCGGGUGGUUCCAUUGGUGGUGGCAGUCUGAGCUGAGUGACACUGCUAAAAGUAUGACGAUGCAGGCUGGUGACUCACAGAGGGCACUGUGAGUCCCGUCAGGGGACUGGAGUCCUUUACGCCUCACUGCACAGAGGGACACGUGGGGACUGCUCCAGAGACUUUCGGGGUCAGUGCUGUAGAGUGACUUUGCGUUUCCUCUAUAGAAGAGAAUAAUCUCUUGCUUUGGGGGUCACAGAGCUCUGGCAUUUGAACGUAUAGCAGGCAUGCGAUAAAGGCUGUGGCCCCAGGAAUGUACCACAGCACCUCCGGCUGGUCCGGUUGUUUUGUGUACAUGGCCUGUGCCUUGGUUUCCCUCUUGCAAAGUGAACUGGUGUCUCUGGCCCCAGGUCGCUGGGUCAGGGAAGAGCAGGACCAGUUUCUCCACUGUUUUACAUGGGCUUCGGGUAGGGGUUGAAUUGGAGCCUCAUAGCCACAAGAGGGCACCCUACACCCUGCAAAUCCACCCCUGCUUGGGCCUCAGGGUAGACAGAGGGUGGGUGUCUGUGUGUAGAUGGAAGGAGCCUGGACCGGAAGGGGGGCUCCCAUCUUUCAGUCCCUAUUUUGCCCGCAUUGCGUGGCCUUGCUGGUCUCACGCUCUGAUCUGACAUGGGCUCAUCCUGGGAAGCAAAGGGCUCUGGUGAGGAUCAAGAUAUGAGUGAGGCCCCAGACUGUCACCUCGAUAGGUUCAUAUUCUGGGUUUGGAUCCCUUACCAUUGGUUCCUUUCUAAUUUAUUCCUGGUGCUGGGGUGGAACCCAGAGCUUGGGUACACCAGGCUGCGGAGGCAGACCCUAGCCCUCAUUAGUUCCUGCCAGCUACUCCCCUGCCUGUAUCAGAGUAGAUGUUUUUAGUGAGGACACCAGGGGAUAUUGAGAAAGAGCUGAAGCCCCCAGCCUUUCCUGUCAGGAACAUGAGGGCUCUGAAGAGCAAAAACAAAAACCCAAAACUCAGAACAGAACAAAAUAAAACAGAAAACCGCGGUAACUCACAAACAGAGCCUGUGUGACCAGGAAAGCGGGGACCCAGCUGACUGUGGGUCUGCAGACAUCACCUCCACCGGAAUGUGGGAUCACUGUGGUUUGGGUCCAUGGGGACCCAUAUGUAAUCUGCUGACCUUGGGAGUCGGGGCCAGCAGCCAAUAAGUGGAGACCUGGGUCCAUGCGCCAGCAGACCAUGGUGGCUUUUUGAUCCUUGGAGAGAUUUACUCAACAGGAAUAUGGAUGUCCUGGGAGAGGCUUGUCCUCCCAAGCCUGGCUGCUGGUAUAAAGCUGCCCUUUCCUCUUUCCUACAAUAGCCCAUCUCCAUGUGGGGUCCUGGGGUCCUGGUUGGCUGUGGUCAGCUCAUGCAUGGCAUGUCAGGAGCUUCAGAUGCUGAGCCUGUAGGAGGUGAGUUUAAGGACCCCAGGGAACAGACAGGGAAACCAAACACAGAGGGCCAACAGAACAAGACAGGACCUGGGCCUCGGCCUCACCCUGCCCUGCCAGAAGACUCUGGUGAUUGGGGCCCAGGAGCACAUGAAUGUAUGGAGAAGAGCUCCCCAGGCCCCCAACCCGACCUUCUGUCUCCACACCUACACAUAUUUUGCCUGCCAUCACCUCUCUCCUACUCCGUUCUUCCGGCCCAUUGCAGCAUUCCUUCAUAGGCUUCAGGAGGUGUGCGUGUGUUUGAAAUGGUAAAAACAAUGCUUGCUCAUAGCAAGCCUUCAAACUGACCAGAAGACACAGAGAAGAGAGCAGAAACCCCACCUUCCUCUCACUUUCCUACUCACCUAAGCUUUCUUGGUGAUUUCUAGUCAGUUCCCUGGAGGGUUUCGUUUUAACUGUAUGUCUCUGUGCACUGCUCCACAUCAGCUCCCUGAGGCCUGAGCCAGGCCCAUACAACAUGCAUUGAAGAUGUUGUACAGGAUGGCUAUGGAGGUGUGUGUGUGUGUGUGUGUGUGUGUGUGUGUGUGUGUGUGUGUGAGAGAGAGAGAGAGAGAAUUCAUAUGUGUGUGAAUUUGUGUGUGUGAACGUGUGUGUGAAUGUGAGUGUGUAUGUAUGAGAUAGUAUUCAUAUGUGUGUGAACGUUGAGUGUUGUGUGUGUGUGAAUGUGAGUGUGUGUGUGUGUGUGUGUGUGCCUCCUCUUUCUUUCCCAAUGAGGAAUCCCAACAGGCAGCUGAAUCUUCUCUAUACAACAUUCUGUUAACAUCAUUAUAAGUUAAAUUCAGGGCUGGAUAUGACAAUAUAUAUGUAUAGUUCCAGGACCGGGAAGUGGAGGCAGGAGGAUUAAGAGUUUCAAGAGGGGACUGGAGAGAUGCCUCAGGGGUUAAGAGCACUGACUGCUCUUCCAGAGGUCCUGAGUUCAAUUCCCAGCAACCACAUGGUGGCUCACAACCAUCUGUAAAGGGGAUUCCAUGUCCUCUUCUGGUGCGUCUGAGGACAGCUAUAGUGUAUUCAUAUGCAAUUAAAUAAAUCUUUAAAAAAAAAGUUUCAAGAGCAUCUUUGACUACUUGGUGAGUUUGAGGUUAACCUGGGUUACAUAAGACCCCACAUCAGGCCAGACUGAAACAAAAGAAAUAAAAAAGAUCAAUUUGAAUUCAAAGCUACAUAUAGUGGUGUAGGCCUGUAAUCCUAGGCAGGAGUUCAAGGCCAUUCUGGGCUACAGAAUGAAAUUUGUUUCCAAGAAGUAAAAUCCAUGAAUUUGGGCUCAACAUUUAAUGGUUUGAAGAUAUUCUUUGCACAUUCAAACUAUGUGUCUGGAGUCAGUUCUGAUGUGGUGGCGUCUGGUACGCUAACCUGGAGCAUGGAGGCUUCCUGUAUACCUUCUCCUGUUCUGCUCCUGUUCCCAGAACUCCCCUCUGCUUCCAGCCUGGCUCCCAAGGGCCUGAGGCUGUGACAUCUGUCCUUGGCAACUUAAUGAGAAAACUGACAAGCAUGGAAAUGGUCACUAACCAGCCAAUGUGUCAGCCUGAGCAGAGAAAGGGAAAAGAACAGAGACAGACCAUGUCCCUGACAUCUUCAUGGGCACCAAGGCCUGUGUGUGCCCUUUGAGAAAGCACCUGGCUUGGCAUUUGGAGUUCCCAUUGUCCUUAGAGGGAACAGAGGGAAAAAAGGGAACCAUCUUCUCACCACAGAGGCCAGAGGUUCAGCACUUGGAUCAGGGACAUGCUAACACACUCAGGUUCUUGUGCUGCAGCACAGUCAAGCCUCUUUUUUUUUUUUUUUUUUCUAUUUUUUUUUUUUCGGAGCUGGGGACCGAACCCAGGGCCUUGCGCUUACUAGGCAAGCGCUCUACCACUGAUCCAAAUUCCCAACCCCAGUCAAGCCUCUUUAAGGGUGGCCACUGCUCUGUGCCUGGUUGGUGGCUGAGAAUGGCAGUGGCCUGGGUUACCAGAGCAGAGCAGGGCUUCUGAGGCAAAGCUG